GAUGAACGCUGGCGGCGUGCCUAAUACAUGCAAGUCGAGCGAACGGACGAGAAGCUGUCUUCUCUGAUGUUAUCGGCGGACGGGUGAGUAACACAGGGAUAACCUAACUAUAAGACUGGGAUAACUUCGGGAAACCGUAGCUAAUACCGGAAAAUAUUUUGAACCGGAUGGUUCAAGAGUGAAAGACGGUCUUUCGGUCACUUAUAGAUGGAUACGCCGUGCAUUAGCUAGUUGGUAAGGUGAAGGCUUAGCAAGGCAACGAUGCAGAGCCGACCUGAGAGGGUGAUCCGACACACUGGAACUGAGACACGGCACACACUCCUACGGGAGGCAGCAGCAGGGACUCCUACGCAAUGGACGAAAGCCUGACGGAGCACAGCCGCGUGAGUGAUGAAGGUCUUAGGCUCGUAAAACUCUGUUAUUAUGGAAGAAGAUAUGUGUAAGUACCUGUGAUCAUAUUGACGGUACCUAAUCAGAAAGCCACGGCUAACUCCGUG
rnacentral:rRNA from 1 species